AUUGAACGCUGGCGGCAGGCCUAACACAUGCAAGUCGAGCGGAUGAAGGGAGCUUGCUCCUGGAUUCAGCGGCGGACGGGUGAGUAAUGCCUAGGAAUCUGCCUGGUAGUGGGGGAUAACGUCCGGAAACGGGCGCUAAUACCGCAUACGUCCUGAGGGAGAAAGUGGGGGAUCUUCGGACCUCACGCUAUCAGAUGAGCCUAGGUCGGAUUAGCUAGUUGGUGGGGUAAAGGCCUACCAAGGCGACGAUCCGUAACUGGUCUGAGAGGAUGAUCAGUCACACUGGAACUGAGACACGGUCCAGACUCCUACGGGAGGCAGCAGUGGGGAAUAUUGGACAAUGGGCCAAAUCCUGAUCCAGCCAUGCCGCGUGUGUGAAGAAGGUCUUCGGAUUGUAAAGCACUUUAAGUUGGGAGGAAGGGCAGUAAGUUAAUACCUUGCUGUUUUGACGUUACCAACAGAAUAAGCACCGGCUAACUUCGUG
rnacentral:rRNA from 1 species